rnacentral:lncRNA from 1 species
GUGAAAGGGGUGUUAGAGUGGGUUAGAGUCCUACAUUAGUUGGAGAAUCGAUUGGUGGUCUACUUAUAUGGACUUGGGCAAUCCUUCCCCUAUGAGCUAACUUUUGGGGUUGAGACAGACCAUAAGUGUCAUAUUUUUACAAAGGAUAAUGUCAUUUAUCUCAAUCACAAGUGUAUAUUCUUGCUUAGUUUUUGGUGCCACAAAGCUAUGGCGGUUGUUUAGAGCCGGAUGUUAUUGUGGACUUUUUUGCUCUCUACACAUUGUGAAGUUUAUUUUGGAUGUAAUUCUGCUCCAGCAUUCCCUUAAGGUUGGUAGCUUUCUCGCAUCAAUAAUGUCGCUUUAUUAUUUAUCAGGAAAAUACCAAUAUCCGGUUCCUUGUAUGGUUUGGGAACAGUAUUCAGAAAACUAGUAUAUGUGGUUCUUCCUAAAAAAAAGAAGAAGCUAGUAUAUGUGGUUGGUUGUUGAGUAUGACAACUGUGAUGAGGCAUGUGUUUUUGUAGGGAGUGAAGUUACUACCUAACCGAC